UUGCCUUGGUUUUGUAGGCAUUCAGGUAGAAAAUAAGUAGUCAAUAAUCAGUUUUGAAAUGCGAGUUUAAUCAGUUCAGAGAAUAAUCAGUAUGAAAUGUAGGCAAGAAGAUAGAUAUAUGUAGGCAAUCAGAUAGAGUUAUGUAGGCAACGAUCAGUUAGAGAAUAGGCAGUAAUGUGUGUUUUUGUUUUCUGUACGUAAACAAUCGUCGUACAUUUUUGAUUUUGUAGGCAAUUUUAAUUAACAUUUUUAUAGGCAUUGUUUUGUGUGUUCUUCGUAGGCAAUUAAAUUAGCAUCAUAGGCGAUAUUGUUGUGCUUUCAGCAGGCAGUUCUCAGGAAUGUUCGCCAUGUGUUCGUAGGCAACACCACUGUGUUUUGUGUAGGCAAUCAGAGAGAGAUAAGUAAGCAAAACAAUGCAUAAGAUGUGUUCAUAGACAAUCCCGUAGGCAAUAACAUGUGUUUUUGUGUUUCAUCAGCUGACAACACAUUUUCUGUAGAGAAAUACAAGCAAGGCGGCAAAAUACUCACAUAUUUUUUCUUGCCAUGGAUUUUGUGCCUUUUUUAUGCAGUAUUGUAAGAUACGUGAGAAAACUACAGAUAGUUUUGGCAUGGCAUGGCAUGGAAGCACUAGUUGUGGUUCUAGUAGUAGUAGCAGAUUUUAAAGAUGGCACUAACCUCUGCCAUUUUCCUUCUGGGUAGCAACUAAAACUACGCGGCAUACAUGACACACAUUCUAGCAGGUAGUCAAGAUGAGAAAGUUAUACUAUGUAGCAUAUACAAAGUUUUUUCAGUACAAACCGAGGAAACCCCCUUACGAGAACAGAUUAUGAACUGACUCUCACGUUUGCUGGAGGUAAACGUGCGACUCCUGCAUUAAGAUUCAGGACUCAUACAGAUAUUUGUUGUAGUAGCUCCUAGUGCAUAAGAUUGGCAUCUUUGCCGCAUUUUUUCUGUGAACUAUGCUCUGGAAGUUUGACUUCAUAUGCAAAGAAUAGGUUGCUUGAGUACGUAAUUACCUCAAAAUAUCAUGUGAUGUUUUCAUGUAAUCUGGAAUCGAAACUUGAAACCAUAGUGGACAUUCGAUUUUCAGUAACUGAACUUUUUGGCAUUUUAAAAAGUUAAAUGCGCUGCUGCUUUGAGUGAGCUCUGAGUAAUGAAUCACCUUGAAAUCUCAUAUGAUGCUUUAUAUAAGCUGGAUUUUGGUACUUAGAUGUGUGGAACUCAAUUUCGGUAAUUGAAAACGGCCAUUUUUUUUAGAAGUUAGAUGUGCCGGUACUCGAAGUAUUUGUGCAUUUUUUUUCUGCAGCUAAUGUGAUGGAGUGAAGCUCUGAGCAGACUUCCACAAAAUGUUCCCUCUUUUUUGGUGCUUUGGAUUUUGGGUGGUGGCAGAGCUUGCACCAUGCUAGCUCCCAGUCUGCUGUAUUUGCUCGGCCACAUUUGCAAACGCAAGCAAUAAUAAGACUAAUUUCAGUAAUCACAUGUUUAAAUGUAAACAAUGUUGUACAUGUAUAUAUGUAGGCAUCUUCAUUUGUAUACUAGGCAUUUUUUAGUAGGCAAUUUGUUUCAGCCAAAACACUAAAUCACCCACCCCACAAUUUAACCACAUAGUUUCAGACUACUUUCUAUGCAGGCCUAUGUUUUAAAGGCGUCCCUAAGGCGACGCCUAGGCGACGCCUAGGCGUCGAAGCGCUCCCCCUCCGCUUUGGAAAAUCGACCGCUUUGGGCGCCUAGGCGUCCAAAGCGCCCGCCUAGGCGUCGCCUAGGCGCCAAAGCGCCCCCCCUCCCUAAGGCGGUAUGGCUGCAGCGAUGUACAAUACUGAAAACUGGGACGGCACCCAUGUCCUGGAAGGCAAGGUGCAAGACAAUAGGCAAGAUAAUUCAAGAGCAGGCAUUUCUUCUCAAGCAUCCAGAUUCAACAUAGGGAAGAGGAGGCAACUACAGGUGAAGGCUAGCAGUAUCACACGGGUGGUACAGAGGGGUAGUCCCAGUAGUUCAAGAACUAACCAGGAAUCAAGAUUUUCUGUUUUGUUUUUGCCCAAGGAUUAGUAGGGAUAAUAGUAGUGCAGAGUACUUCUACCUUGGUGUUUUUUCUGGGAGGAACUUCCCAGUUUGUUGAAAUUUUCUUGCCAACGUUUGCUCCACAAUAUUGCCUGAUCAGCAACAAAGAGUUGCAGGGCAAAAUCUAUGGCCUUCUUCAGGAUAUGGCUUGAAUUGCCCCUUUUUUGUG